AUAUUUAACCACCCAGAGGUUCAAGCAAAAUGUCAAAAAGAGAUCGAUGAGGUUCUGGAGGGUAAAGAUCACGCAUCGUAUGAAGACAGACACAAUAUGCCGUACACACUGGCUGUGAUUCAUGAGGUUCAGCGCGUGGCUAACACUGUACCGCUAAGUGUGUUUCACUGCACCACCAAAGACAUAGAGCUGAUGGGCUACAGCAUCCCGAAGGGACCUUUGUUAUUCCUAACCUCACUUCUGUACUAAAAGAAGAAGGCCAGUGGAAGUUUCCUCAUGAAUUCAACCCAGCCAACUUCCUGAAUGAGCAAGGCCAGUUUGAGAAGCCUGAGGCCUUUAUGGCUUUUUCUGCAGGUCGUCGUGUGUGUCUCGUUGAGGGUCUUGCGCGUAUGGAGCUUUUCCUGAUCAUGGUCACUCUGCUGCGCCGUUUCCAGUUUGUGUGGCCCGAUGAUGCAGGGGAACCAGACUACACCCCAGUAUAUGGGAUCACCAUGACGCCCAAACCCUACAGAAUGCACAUCA